rnacentral:rRNA from 1 species
AUGAGCGGCGUGGUCCAACGGAGGAGGAAACUACACCGCGAUUUCCAAGUCCAAGUGGCAGUGAGUCAGCAGUCCUAUUCCUAUCCACCCACCUCCACAGCGAUUGACGACUUUGACUACACAAGAUUGAACAGUUUCAGUUCGCUGCUGCCUGCUCAGAUACCACAAGCAUCAAGGCUUCGGGGUUUUGCUCAACAGAACCAAUGGCGCCGCCUAUUCCAAACAUGCAUUACUCCCUCUAUUCCACAUGUAAGGUGCAAGCAAAAUAUAAGAAUAUAUCUCACGAUGAUAAACUACGCCAAACAUAGAGAAGUUCGGCUUUCUAAAAGUUAA